CUCUAAAGUAAUACAUUUUUAAAUGAUCAGAAUAUCAGGAACUUUUAAAUUUUUGGAGAUUAAUUGGUAUGCAAACAUACCAUUUGCUGACAUCUCAGUCACUUCAGGAUCUGUGCUCUUGAAUCAAAGAAUCAACCUGUAAGAGCUUUCCUGUUUUCUCCCCUGUAAAUAACAGAUUUUUCUACCUCAAUUUACCUGGGGAGGUAAACACAAAAUGAAAGACAAAGACUGAUUAGCUCUCCUAAGCUCUGGUCUACCUAAUGGAUAAAGUGGCACUUACCUGGGACUUCCAAGAGUUAGCCUUUACUGUGUCCUCCAAAGGAAAGAGAAUGGAUUGUCCUCCGGGCUGAUAUAAACGGGAGAAGAGGGCAGCUAUAAGUGACCUUGUGUUCUGAUAUGGUCCUGGCAUCUGGACAGAAUCUUUUUGGUAGCCUGUGCUUUGUCACUUUCUAGCAAGUACAGAGGCUGGGCACCAUGAGAUCCCAGGCCUCCUUGAGAGUAGGAGAAAGGGAUCUCAAUAUCCUCAGCAUUUGGUUGUCCGUCUCAGAUGAACUUUUGAGUCCAGUUAAUGAGCAGGCAUCAUGCCAGGAAGAGAUACAUGAGCUUGGACCUCGAAGGAUGUCCACAGGAUAGAGAACUUUGUGAAGCCACAAAGGAGCAAAGACCUACAAAAAUUAGGGGACUUCCAAGACCCAUCUCAAGACUACCUUUUUUAGGACACCUUCUCCAACAGCAAUGCUAUAAUCUUUAAUCUGUAAUACUCAUAUUGUUCUUUGACUAGUUUGGGUAUGUACACAAAUUCCCCUGAGGAUUUUAAGCAUGAGGUCAAUAAUAGCAUUAAAAAAAUAUUCUUCAUGUACAGUACCUAACAUAAUGCUAUGUACUGCUAAGAAAACUUAUUAAUGUCACUCCUUCCUAUUUGAAUCUAAUGGAGAUUAUAUCUUGCUAUAAUGAUUGCUAUAAAGGUGAGUACCCAGAUUACUUUUUGCCAUUCAGCCCACGUUUUUCCAC
rnacentral:lncRNA from 1 species